CCUCGGCCCCACCCGCCAUGGACACGCCUGGGCAGCAGGGCCGAGAGGCGUUUCCAGCACCUCACCGGCACGCAGACGGGCAACACCUGGCCGGGAACAGCAGCGUCUAGCAAGAAACCCUCCCCGCCGCCUGGCUGCAGGGGUCCCGGGGAGCCCCCCACCCCGCCUCGCCCUCCGCCUCCCUAGAGGAUCCUUCACUGGACCCGGCCACUCUGUCCUCCCUCCCAUCCUCCGGCUCUGAGGACGGAACCAGUUACGCCGUGCCGAGUGGGGUCGCCCAGCCGGAACCUUCCAGAGUCCCUGAUCUCCAGACACGGUCCGCUGCGGGGCCGGGCAGUUGGUCCCCAGAUUUGCAGGCUGGCAACAGAGUGGUGACCAGGGGGCUCUUGGCCCACCGCCCCCCUCCAGAGGACGAAGACGCAGAAGAAAGCUCAGGGAAAAGCACAGCCUCACUUGAGCUCAACUCUGCUGCACGGGCCGGGCAGGGUCCCAGGGAAGGGCAGCCCACCCGAGCCGGCCCCCCCGCCCACCCGCCUCCCAGCCUGCAGACUCUUCCGACACCUGGAGCUGGGGAGAGCGGGCCUGGGUCACAGGUGAGUAAUCCUGGAAGGAGGUGAGUGGGGGCCCACGUCUCCCGCGGGGUCAGCGCUGGCAUCUGGCUGUUAAUAAUGCAACGCGGAGUCUAUUACGCGGAGUGAGAGGUAACUCCGGCCCGAGGGAAAGGGCCAUUAUGCAAAUGCAGGCAGAAGCCGGCUUCUAAAAAUGCACAUAUUUAACUAACGCAUCCCGAGCCGAGCCGGGGUCAUUAGUUUCUUUUCAAAACGUUCCCCUGGAAGCUUUGUCUCCUCCGACUGCCAUUGUUCGGAGCGCCCGAGUCUGGACGGCCACCAGGCCCUCCCGGGCCCGGCGUGCCGCCCUCCCGGGCCCCUGCGUGCCGCCGG